AUUGAACGCUGGCGGCGUGCCUAACACAUGCAAGUCGAGCGGUAACAGGUGUAGCAAUACAUGCUGACGAGCGGCGGACGGGUGAGUAACGCUUGGGAAUCUGCCUGAUAGUGGGGGACAACCCGGGGAAACUCGGGCUAAUACCGCAUACGCACUACGGUGGAAAGCCGGGGACCGCAAGGCCUGGCGCUAUCAGAUGAGCCCAAGUCGGAUUAGCUAGUUGGAGGGUAACGGCCUACCAAGGCGACGAUCCGUAACUGGUCUGAGAGGACGACCAGUCACACCGGAACUGAGACACGGUCCGGACUCUACGGGAGGCAGCAGUGGGGAAUAUUGGACAAUGGGCGAAAGCCUGAUCCAGCGACGCCGCGUGGGUGAAGAAGGCCUGCGGGUUGUAAAGCCCUUCGGGUGGGGAAAGAAAGCCUCGAGUUAAUACCUCGGGGUCUUGACGUAACCCAUAGAAGAAGCACCGGCU
rnacentral:rRNA from 1 species